CUCUCAGUGGAGUCAUGACUAUCCUAAAACUGGCUCUGUAGACUAGUGUGGCCUUGAACCCAGAUCUACCUCCCUCUACCUCCCGAGUGCUUGGGUUAAAGGCCUGAGUCACCACAGCCUGCUGUAGUUUUUUGGUUUUCAGAGGGUUUCCUCUGUUAAGAUGACUGUUAGAUGUCUGGUCCUCCAGCUAGAGGUCACUAGAAAACUACUUAGAAUAUGGUGGAUUGCUUUUGCCAUGAGGGAAACCCACUGGGCUUUUACGAUGUGAUGGGGGCGUGUAGGGCCCAGAAAAGGAGUUUGCUCUGCCCGAGUGCUGUCAGCCUUGCAUUUAGGAAGUCCUACCUAGAAGUCGGUGGGAUGUAGUAGGGCUGAAGCUGCUACAGAUGGAAACCCUCUUCCUUGCAUUCUUUCCCUCAGGAAGUGACCUUGGGUUAGGAAAUAACCUUCGAGUCUUUAUUUCCAAGUUGUUCCCUUUCAUCAGCAUCGGCACAUGGAGGCCCGGAGCUCGUGAGACUUACAAGGCCUCCUCUACUCCAGUAGAGCCGUCAGCAUCAGGCCAGCUGCCCGCCUUUUUCCAGUUUCUUUUCUUGGGAACACUUGGACAGCCUUUUCUCUGGUGUGAGUGCACACCCUGGGCUUUUCCCCUGUUGUGUGGCAUCUGUAUAUUAAAAAGAAAAAUCCAAAUGUGAACCUGAAGUCAGACGCAGAGUCUGGGCAAGAGCAGAAUGAAAGGCUCCAUGUUCCCGUGGUGGUGAGAGCUGCAGCACCUCUCGCUCUAC
rnacentral:lncRNA from 1 species